ACUCUAAGCGGUGGAUCACUCGGCUCAUGGGUCGAUGAAGAACGCAGCAAACUGUGCGUCAUCGUGUGAACUGCAGGACACAUGAACAUCGACAUUUUGAACGCAUAUCGCAGUCCAUGCUGUUAUGUACUUUAAUUAAUUUUAUAGUGCUGCUUGGACUACAUAUGGUUGAGGGUUGUAAGACUAUGCUAAUUAAGUUGCUUAUAAAUUUUUAUAAGCAUAUGGUAUAUUAUUGGAUAAAUAUAAUAAUUUUUAUUCAUAAUAUUAAAAAAUAAAUGAAAAACAUUAUCUCACAUUUGAAUGUGAAAAACGAAGAGAAAUAUUUUCUUUUUCAAUCAAAUAAUACUGAGAAAUGUCUAGCAUAAAAAAUUGAAAUAUUUUUCAUCUAGAAUUGUCUCUUAUUAAUGAUUCGGAAAUAGAAAAAUCUUGGUUAUGUUAUUAUUCUUCGUUGGUUCGUUAAAAAUGGAUAAAUAAAAACUUUGCAUACAAGAAUUAAUAAAAAUGUUAUAACGAAUUUAAUUAAAUGUUUUAUCAUUAUAUAUAAAGAAUUUAUGGCAAGAUAAAGUUAUAUACAACCUCAACUCAUAUGGGACUACCCCCUGAAUUUAAGCAUAUUAAUUAGGGGAGGAAAAGAAACUAACAAGGAUUUUCUUAGUAGCGGCGAGCGAAAAGAAAACAGUUCAGCACUAAGUCACUUUGUCUAUAUGGCAAAUGUGAGAUGCAGUGUAUGGAGCGUCAAUAUUCUAGUAUGAGAAAUUAACGAUUUAAGUCCUUCUUAAAUGAGGCCAUUUACCCAUAGAGGGUGCCAGGCCCGUAUAACGUUAAUGAUUACUAGAUGAUGUUUCCAAAGAGUCGUGUUGCUUGAUAGUGCAGCACUAAGUGGGUGGUAAACUCCAUCUAAAACUAAAUAUAACCAUGAGACCGAUAGUAAACAAGUACCGUGAGGGAAAGUUGAAAAGAACUCUGAAUAGAGAGUUAAACAGUACGUGAAACUGCUUAGAGGUUAAGCCCGAUGAACCUGAAUAUCCGUUAUGGAAAAUUCAUCAUUAAAAUUGUAAUAUUUAAAUAAUAUUAUGAGAAUAGUGUGCAUUUUUUCCAUAUAAGGACAUUGUAAUCUAUUAGCAUAUACCAAAUUUAUCAUAAAAUAUAACUUAUAGUUUAUUCCAAUUAAAUUGCUUGCAUUUUAACACAGAAUAAAUGUUAUUAAUUUGAUAAAGUGCUGAUAGAUUUAUAUGAUUACAGUGCGUUAAUUUUUCGGAAUUAUAUAAUGGCAUAAUUAUCAUUGAUUUUUGUGUUUAUUAUAUGCACUUGUAUGAUUAACAAUGCGAAAGAUUCAGGAUACCUUCGGGACCCGUCUUGAAACACGGACCAAGGAGUCUAACAUAUGUGCAAGUUAUUGGGAUAUAAACCUAAUAGCGUAAUUAACUUGACUAAUAAUGGGAUUAGUUUUUUAGCUAUUUAUAGCUAAUUAACACAAUCCCGGGGCGUUCUAUAUAGUUAUGUAUAAUGUAUAUUUAUAUUAUUUAUGCCUCUAACUGGAACGUACCUUGAGCAUAUAUGCUGUGACCCGAAAGAUGGUGAACUAUACUUGAUCAGGUUGAAGUCAGGGGAAACCCUGAUGGAAGACCGAAACAGUUCUGACGUGCAAAUCGAUUGUCAGAAUUGAGUAUAGGGGCGAAAGACCAAUCGAACCAUCUAGUAGCUGGUUCCUUCCGAAGUUUCCCUCAGGAUAGCUGGUGCAUUUUAAUAUUAUAUAAAAUAAUCUUAUCUGGUAAAGCGAAUGAUUAGAGGCCUUAGGGUCGAAACGAUCUUAACCUAUUCUCAAACUUUAAAUGGGUAAGAACCUUAACUUUCUUGAUAUGAAGUUCAAGGUUAUGAUAUAAUGUGCCCAGUGGGCCACUUUUGGUAAGCAGAACUGGCGCUGUGGGAUGAACCAAACGUAAUGUUACGGUGCCCAAAUUAACAACUCAUGCAGAUACCAUGAAAGGCGUUGGUUGCUUAAAACAGCAGGACGGUGAUCAUGGAAGUCGAAAUCCGCUAAGGAGUGUGUAACAACUCACCUGCCGAAGCAACUAGCCCUUAAAAUGGAUGGCGCUUAAGUUGUAUACCUAUACAUUACCGCUAAAGUAGAUGAUUUAUAUUACUUGUGAUAUAAAUUUUGAAACUUUAGUGAGUAGGAAGGUACAAUGGUAUGCGUAGAAGUGUUUGGCGUAAGCCUGCAUGGAGCUGCCAUUGGUACAGAUCUUGGUGGUAGUAGCAAAUAAUCGAAUGAGACCUUGGAGGACUGAAGUGGAGAAGGGUUUCGUGUGAACAGUGGUUGAUCACGAGUUAGUCGGUCCUAAGUUCAAGGCGAAAGCCGAAAAUUUUCAAGUAAAACAAAAAUGCCUAACUAUAUAAACAAAGCGAAUUAUAAUACACUUGAAUAAUUUUGAACGAAAGGGAAUACGGUUCCAAUUCCGUAACCUGUUGAGUAUCCGUUUGUUAUUAAAUAUGGGCCUCGUGCUCAUCCUGGCAACAGGAACGACCAUAAAGAAGCCGUCGAGAGAUAUCGGAAGAGUUUUCUUUUCUGUUUUAUAGCCGUACUACCAUGGAAGUCUUUCGCAGAGAGAUAUGGUAGAUGGGCUAGAAGAGCAUGACAUAUACUGUUGUGUCGAUAUUUUCUCCUCGGACCUUGAAAAUUUAUGGUGGGGACACGCAAACUUCUCAACAGGCCGUACCAAUAUCCGCAGCUGGUCUCCAAGGUGAAGAGUCUCUAGUCGAUAGAAUAAUGUAGGUAAGGGAAGUCGGCAAAUUAGAUCCGUAACUUCGGGAUAAGGAUUGGCUCUGAAGAUUGAGAUAGUCGGGCUUGAUUGGGAAACAAUAACAUGGUUUAUGUGCUCGUUCUGGGUAAAUAGAGUUUCUAGCAUUUAUGUUAGUUACUUGUUCCCCGGAUAGUUUAGUUACGUAGCCAAUUGUGGAACUUUCUUGCUAAAAUUUUUAAGAAUACUAUUUGGGUUAAACCAAUUAGUUCUUAUUAAUUAUAACGAUUAUCAAUUAACAAUCAAUUCAGAACUGGCACGGACUUGGGGAAUCCGACUGUCUAAUUAAAACAAAGCAUUGUGAUGGCCCUAGCGGGUGUUGACACAAUGUGAUUUCUGCCCAGUGCUCUGAAUGUCAAAGUGAAGAAAUUCAAGUAAGCGCGGGUCAACGGCGGGAGUAACUAUGACUCUCUUAAGGUAGCCAAAUGCCUCGUCAUCUAAUUAGUGACGCGCAUGAAUGGAUUAACGAGAUUCCUACUGUCCCUAUCUACGCAAUAUAGUACAUAGUGUAUGUGAUACUGCGCUAGAAGGAAGUUGACUCGAUCGCCCAGCAGGAGCUCAGUUGGUGGACUGCGACCUCUGCGCUGCAAGGCGCAAAGUC
rnacentral:rRNA from 1 species